UGCUUGUCCUUUUUUUCCUAGGGUUUUCUCAUAGACUUUGGAUUGCCAUGUGUGUCUUUUAGAGACCCCACUUAAUGCCUUUUCUGAUAUUUAGCUCACAGUAAGCAAGCUGGCCUAGCCAAGGGGAAACCAGUUGGCCUUUCCUUUGCUUGUCAAAGAUCAUUUAAAUCCAAACCUGUCUUUUCCUGAACUCCAAAGCGCUUCUGG
rnacentral:lncRNA from 1 species